rnacentral:rRNA from 1 species
UACGGAGGGGGCUAGCGUUGUUCGGAAUUACUGGGCGUAAAGCGCGCGUAGGCGGACCUGCAAGUCGGGGGUGAAAGCCCGAGGCUCAACCUCGGAACUGCCUUCGAUACUGCGGGUCUCGAGUCCGGGAGAGGUGAGUGGAAUUCCUAGUGUAGAGGUGAAAUUCGUAGAUAUUAGGAAGAACACCAGUGGCGAAAGGCGGCUCACUGGCCCGGUACUGA